AUGUUUGCUGAAGCAUCGUAAUCAAGAUUGACAUCUGCUAUCAAUAAAUAGGAUGAGCUUCUGCUUGUAUAUAUGUUAAUCUUAUAAAUGCUAUUGGAAAGUUGAUGUCCUGCUUAACCUCUCGAUUGCAGAUGUUAAUCUUAAUGACAAUUCUUCAGCAAACAU
rnacentral:sRNA from 1 species